AUGCGCCGCCGCCCCAGCCGUCCCGGCAUCAAGCCAAGGCCCAGCCCAAGCCACAUCUUCUGCCGCUCCAUCAUUGCCCACCUUGAGAUCAGCCCCGACGCCACCACCAUCUUCAGAUGCGUACGCACACUACUUCCUUCUUCAAAUUGCUUCACCACAUCAUGCUGAAUUUGCAAACGGCCGCUCCUUACAUGUGUGAUCGAGAAGCAAGGUCAAGUAUGAGCAGGCUGUCAGCGUGUAGUGGUCGGAGAUGCCGUCGCAACUUACAUGUCGCAGUCGUCGGCUCCAUGCUAAGAUUACGAGGCUCUAUGGUUGUAUCGUGGUGUUCCAGUAGUAAACUUUCAGGCUGGUUAGAUAGGGGAUGAAGAUGAUGUAUACUACCUAACGGCCAUUGAGUAAUAAAAGGAGAUGGAUUGAACUACAUGAUUUAUGCCAUGGGAAUGAUGAAAAAUCUUUGAGUGAGGAUGUUGAAUAAUUCAGUCCUGAUCAAUGGCUUCUCAUAAAAGUCUUCCUGCCAGCAAGAGAGCCCUUGCAGAUUUACAGCUUUUAGUGUAAUUAUUACAGAGAAGACAUGCUUAGAGGGCCUAUAAUUUUACUAAGUGAACAUGUACUGAUCUCUACAUGCUUUUUAUUAGAGUAUCGCUUUCAUGUUUUACUAAGAUCUGUGCGGAAACAACAUGAGCCUUUGCUGCUUGGUCUGGGAUGGUGAAGUGGUGGUUGCAGUGGAAAUCGUUAAAGGGGGCACCGGUGUCCUCAGUUAUACGGUUACAGAAUAUAUGGAGUCAUGCCCAACGUUGCAAGGGAGCCUGUAGUGGGAGGCGACAAAGUAUUGGCUGUUACCAUAGUAUCCAUAAUGAGUUGUGUCAACACCAACCUCAGAGCUGGAAUAAGGAGUGCGCAUUCGCAUUGAUGAAACAACUUUCCCAUAGCCCGCUGCUACUGCCCACUACCACAAUCUUGCAUAGAUACUUCAGUCUGUUGGAUAAUUAUUGGAGAUGAUGCACUCUGAUGGACAGAUAUAGAAACCCAUUGUUAUUUUCAGUGAGGGCUGAAGUGAAUGAAUCUGGAAGUGCUUUAGUGAUUAAUGCUCUGUCCCAAGUUAAGCAUAUUCUACUUCCGGUCACUGGCCGCAAGCCUUACCUUUCAGUUCUAAUUCCUUGAGAUCACCACAGUUGUGAAUAUAGCCAUUGUUUCAACAGAACAAACCUAAGCUUAGCAUGAAAGAGAGUAUGAAAGUUCUGAUCUCUUCAAAAUAUGUGAGGGGCCUUGCUACCUUAGUUGUUGCAUAUGGCAUUAUAAUCAAUUUUGUGUAAGUCACAUGGAAAUCGAAGCUCAAGGCACAGUUCCCCAGUCCAAACGAGCACUCAUCUUUCAUGGGUGAUUUCUCUACCGCAACUGGACUUGCAACUUUCAUGAUGAUGCUGUUAGGCUGGAUUACAUUCCAAAGAUUUGGUUGGGGGGUGGCUUCCAUUAUCACCCCCAUAGUUUUGUGGUGACUGGCGUUGGUUUCUUCUCUGACUUUCAACAAGUGCAGUUCAUUGCCGCAGAGCAGUCUUAGAAGAUCCGUGCACAUGUAGCCUUAUUUCUUAUUCCAAAUUUCAUCAUACAAAAAAAAAACUCAGUGUA